GUGUUUGUGGGUGGGUGUAAGGCUUUCUUAUAUAUACAGCGUUCUGCCUGCAAACCAGAAGAGUGAAGCAGAUUACAUUGUAGAUGUUUGUGAGCCUGCAAGAGCCCUGGAGAUCCCAACCAGCUGACUCGCAAGGGCAGAAAAAGGAAAACUGUGACUUGGCCUGAAGGAGGGCAAGCUGAGAGAGUAUUUCUACUUUGAACUGGAUGAAACUGAGCAAAUGAAUGUGAACAAGAUCAAAGACUUCGGGGAGGCUGCUAAGCGUGAGAUACUGUUGGACCAGCAUGCUUUCAAGACAGCUCGGCGACUAAGCCAUGACAAUAUGGAGGAGAAAGUGCCCUGGGUGCGUCCCAGGCCUCUGGUUCUGCCCUCACCUCUUGUCAUCCCUGGAAGCAACAGCCAGGAGAAAUACAAGCAGGCUGUGUGGAAGAAGCAAAUCCUUCAGGAACUCUUCCCCCGGGAGAGUCCCCAGGAGCCUGAUCCUGAGCUGAGCAAACCCAUUCCCCCGAAACUCAUCCCCUUGGGUGAGGGCAGUCCAAACAGCCACCCUUCAGAGGAGCUGCUGAAGCAGCCUGAGUACUCAGACAAGCUCAAGCAGAUGCUGGUGCCACAUGGGCUCCUAGGUCCUGGUCCUGAGGCAAUGGCGACAGUGAGGAGUCAGCUUACUCCAGUGGGUCCACAUCUGCUGGGUCCCCCACCACCUUCUUGGGGAGGUUAUCCAUUCUGGAAUGGCCCAGACAUGUCAAACCGCCCUCUCUGCCGACACUUCAUGAUGAAGGGCUACUGCCUCUAUGAGAACAACUGUGCCUUCUACCACCCAGGGGUCAAUGGGCCCCCACUGCCCUAGCCUGCCUGCCCUACCCGCACCCCUGUGGACUGCAGCCUUGCUCCUUCCACUUGGUUAUGGCUUCUGUGAGGCCCACUGUCCUUUUCCCCAGCUGAUGAGGAGUCGGCCCCCUCAGUUCCCACCUGGUUGGGUUUCUGGGGGUUUCUGAUUCCUGGUGUGCAUUGAUGUACAUAGUCCCCUCCAGUCUGGAGAGGAGAGAGACUGGACACACUCUAGAUGCUGGACUGCUGAGACGGCUGGCUUCACUCUGUGAGGAGAUUUGCCCUGUGCCCCAAACCCUUUCCAGUAUUAGCCCCGCUGCCUGAGAACCUAAAGCUGGUCACUCUGGAGACCUCUGCUCUCCACAUGCACACGGAACUAAGUGGGUCAGCUGCACUUAGGAAACCAUCUAAGCUAAGCUCAUUAUCCUCACAGGGCGAGGGGGUGGUGAGGGGUACCAUCUAUCCCACUGCACUGCACUGCACUGAGGGCUCAAGCUGGCUGAAGCUGAGUUCUGGAACCACCCCCACUUGUGCCCCACAUGGGCCAGUCACUGUUGAGUCCUUUCUCAAGAAAGACUGCAACUGUUACUUCCCAGGUCAUUGUGGGUCUGCUAGGUUCAGUGAUGGCAUGUUCACAUCUGUAUCCAAGGAAGUUGUUAUCUGGCAGAGGGGCAUCCUGUAGUGUUGGGCCACUCCUGCCUACAGCGGUAUUAGAGACUCCGUGAGACCAGCUUUCAUUAACUUUAGCCGGGUACAGCGGGCCUGAAGCACUACAUGCACUGCCUUUGGGAGUGGGCCUGCUCCUUCCUUACCCCAUGAGGAGCCCUGUCUGAGGCUUCCUGGGCAGACUCAGCAGUAGGGGCCCUUCCCAGUCGUCUCCUCCCCUUGUCUUGGCAUCAGUUGUUUUCUAUGAAAACAGUGGGUUGGUUUUGUGAAGGGUCUUGGGUUAGAACCACAAUGGAUUCGAGGAGUUUUUCUUUUGGUUUUGUAUAUUUUGUACAUUAAUAAUAAACAGUGGAAAGAGAAGCAGCUCAUUUAA